ACGUAGGGGGCGAGCGUUACCCGGAAUCACUGGGCGUAAAGGGAGCGUAGGUGGCCUAACAUGUCAACUGUGAAAACCCGGAGCUCAACUCCGGACUUGCAGUUGAAACUGGUAGGCUUGAGGACGGUAGAGGAAGACGGAACUGCCAGUGUAGGGGUAAAAUCCUUAGAUAUUGGCAGGAACGCCGGUGACGAAGGUGGUUUUCUGGGCCGGUUCUGACACUGAUGCUCGAAAGCCAGGGGAGCGAACGG
rnacentral:rRNA from 2 species